rnacentral:rRNA from 1 species
CGCGUAGGCGGUAAGAUGUGUGUGGUGUGAAAGCCCCGGGCUUAACCUGGGAAGUGCAUCGCAAACUAUCUAACUAGAGUAUAUGAGAGGGUGGCGGAAUUUCCGGUGUAGCGGUGAAAUGCGUAGAGAUCGGAAGGAACGUCAAUGGCGAAGGCAGCCACCUGGCAUAAUACUGACGCUGAGGCGCGAAAGCGUGGGGAGCGAACA